GACGAACGCUGGCGGCGUGCUUAACACAUGCAAGUCGAACGGAAAGGCCCUGCUUUUGUGGGGUGCUCGAGUGGCGAACGGGUGAGUAACACGUGAGUAACCUGCCCUUGACUUUGGGAUAACUUCAGGAAACUGGGGCUAAUACCGGAUAGGAGCUCCUGCUGCAUGGUGGGGGUUGGAAAGUUUCGGCGGUUGGGGAUGGACUCGCGGCUUAUCAGCUUGUUGGUGGGGUAGUGGCUUACCAAGGCUUUGACGGGUAGCCGGCCUGAGAGGGUGACCGGCCACAUUGGGACUGAGAUACGGCCCAGACUCCUACGGGAGGCAGCAGUGGGGAAUAUUGCACAAUGGGCGGAAGCCUGAUGCAGCAACGCCGCGUGCGGGAUGACGGCCUUCGGGUUGUAAACCGCUUUCGCCUGUGACGAAGCGUGAGUGACGGUAAUGGGUAAAGAAGCACCGGCUAACUACGUGCCAGCAGCCGCGGUGAUACGUAGGGUGCGAGCGUUGUCCGGAUUUAUUGGGCGUAAAGGGCUCGUAGGUGGUUGAUCGCGUCGGAAGUGUAAUCUUGGGGCUUAACCCUGAGCGUGCUUUCGAUACGGGUUGACUUGAGGAAGGUAGGGGAGAAUGGAAUUCCUGGUGGAGCGGUGGAAUGCGCGGAUAUCAGGAGGAACACCAGUGGCGAAGGCGGUUCUCUGGGCCUUUCCUGACGCUGAGGAGCGAAAGCGUGGGGAGCGAACAGGCUUAGAUACCCUGGUAGUCCACGCUGUAAACGGUGGGUACUAGGUGUGGGGUCCAUUCCACGGGUUCCGUGCCGUAGCUAACGCUUUAAGUACCCCGCCUGGGGAGUACGGCCGCAAGGCUAAAACUCAAAGGAAUUGACGGGGCCCCGCACAAGCGGCGGAGCAUGCGGAUUAAUUCGAUGCAACGCGUAGAACCUUACCUGGGUUUGACAUGGAUCGGGAGUGCUCAGAGAUGGGUGUGCCUCUUUUGGGGUCGGUUCACAGGUGGUGCAUGCCUGUCGUCAGCUCGUGUCGUGAGAUGUUGGGUUAAGUCCCGCAACGAGCGCAACCCUUGUUCACUGUUGCCAGCACGUUAUGGUGGGGACUCAGUGGAGACCGCCGGGGUCAACUCGGAGGAAGGUGGGGAUGACGUCAAGUCAUCAUGCCCCUUAUGUCCAGGGCUUCACGCAUGCUACAAUGGCCGGUACAGAGAGUGGCGAGCCUGUGAGGGUGAGCGAAUCUCGGAAAGCCGGUCUCAGUUCGGAUUGGGGUCUGCAACUCGACCUCAUGAAGUCGGAGUCGCUAGUAAUCGCAGAUCAGCAACGCUGCGGUGAAUACGUUCCCGGGGCU
rnacentral:rRNA from 1 species